AUGGCAGGCGGUCUGUGCGCCCACUACCGCUGCGGCACUGGCUGGGGUGGCUGGAAUCGAGGCCGCCCCCCAACCCCCGAACAUUUCCUCAGAUGCUCCUUUGCUGAACUUGGCCUCUGUUCCAGAGGUGCUGUUUGGGCUUGGAUCAACACCAGCGGCAGUGCUGACAACGGCGCUCAGAGCCGCGGGCCUGUGUGGGCACCGGGGACACGGGAGGCCUGGGUGUGCAGGCCUAUGGCUUCCUCGGCCAUUACUGGGCGCAUCCCCGUUUGCGGAGGGCAGGGUGAGCUGCAAACCGUUCUGGAAGUGAGAGCUGGUGGGCAGGAGAAAGCAGCCCACCGUCCCUUGGGCAUGGAGGCGGCAGGCUGGCAGGCAGCCAACCACAGGCAGGUGAGGCCAGAGCCCUGGUCGUGGACACAGAGGCCCUUCCGAGGAGGGCCAUCCCUGGGGGUCAGGAGGGGCUCGCCCUUCGCAGGACAUGAAGCAGCACCCUCACACGGUGCCCCCUUCCAAAGAAACUGCUGGCUGGUCACCUGUUGGUGGCUUUCUCUGGAGGAACGUGGCGCCCUCUGGCCAAGGAUCCCCCAGAAGCCCCGCAGCGGCCCGGGUGGAGGCACCCCCUCCGGGGGCGGCCGGGCACACGGUGCUCCCCGGGCCUGGACUCCAUCGCGUGCUGCUGUGACAGCGGUCAUGAUGUGGGGGUCUUGGGGUGCUAGGGAUACUGUCUGGGGAGAGCUUCUGGGGGGCGGGGAAUGUGUGCUGCCCCCAGAGCUGGGCCUGCAUUUUACACCUCAUUUAAAAACACGACCCACAAGCCAGUCACAGAGAACACACCUCGGGCUUCUGGGCACUGCCUCGCCCCCAGGCCCCGGACGUCUGGGCAAACACGGUGGCCCCCGCCCGGAAGCCUCUCUGUGGAGCGAGGUCUGGGUAUACAGGCUGGUGUCUACCGCCCCGAGGCUGCCCGCGUCUGACUCUCUGGGGAAGAUGGGCCAGAGGUCAGGGCGGUGGGCGAGGCUGCGGAGGGCACAGGUCACUUGA
rnacentral:lncRNA from 1 species